UAUUAUUUUUUAUGUAAAUUUGUUAACUGGGGUAGUAUUAGAUAAGUCUUGAAACUUAAAGAAUUUGGCGGUGUUUUAUUUCUUUUUAGAGGAAUCUGUUUCGUAAUCGAUAGUCCGCGAUGUAUCUUACUUUUUAUAUUAGUUUGUAUACCGCCGUUGUGAAUAUUUUUUUAGAAUUUAUAAAUUUUCUUUAUUUUUUAUUAGAAUUUAUUUCAGGUCAAGGUGCAGCUUAUGAAUGGAGUGUUAAUGGAUUACAAUAUUUUUUUAGUAUAUGGAUAUUAUUAGUAUUAAUUUUUUGAAGGUGGAUUUGAUAGUAAUUUUAUGUAGAUUAUUAAGGUGAAUAGAGCUCUGGAACAUGUACAUAUCGCCCGUCGCUCUCGUUAAUUGAUUAUAAGAUGAG
rnacentral:rRNA from 1 species